rnacentral:rRNA from 1 species
GCUUAUGGCCACACCAGCUUGAGAAUGCCCAAUCUCAUCUGACCUUGGUCGCUAAGCAAGUUUGGGCCUGGUUAGUACUGAGGUGGGACCCUACCUAGGAAUACCAGGUGCUGUAAGCU